UAUGUGUAGGGCAAUGUCUAGCUACAACAGCAACCUCCUCCCUGGUCACUGUCACGGUUAUAAUCACCAGUCAGGGGUCAAGGCACAAUAAUUUGUGUGGCCAGCUACAGCAAGUGCGUGCUUUUCUGCAUAUUGGUGGUGGUGCUUCUGGCAGCUGCAGUGGUGAUGCUGGAGUUUGUGACCAUUUGCCCCUUUUCCUCCAGGAGAAUAGUUUUGGCGGAGUGCCUGAUUGACUGUUAUCCAUUUGGUCUUUAGCUUUGGUCAGAACCCAAAGCCAGAAACCUGCUGCAAUGUCACUUAGCCACACGCUAAAUAGGAAGUACUCAAACACACAGUUUGUGCCCCUAAAGCUGUGCUCAUCUCUGCUGAAUGGAUCGUAUAUGGGCUGUGUUUGCUGACCUGGAUGUGUGAUGAGAGCCUUAUUUUGGGGGGACUGGGCAUGUGCUCAGAAGCUUGAUGAUGACUGGAACCACUCACAUCCACUCAAGUCUUCUCUUGCAUGCCUUGUCGUGUGGUUUGGGAUAACACACCUAAAACUAGAACCGUGAGGACAUGAUAAAAUAUUUUCAUGACAGUUUACUGAAAAUGAAACUUAUAUGAAAAUUGUAGUUAUAUCUUAAGGUUUGAUUCAAAACCUAAUGUACAGCUAAUGAGCAAUGUAUUAAACAGUAUGGAAAUUGACCUUGUAAAAACAUUUUACUUUCUGAGAGGAAGUCAUUUUACUUACUUUCCUUUCAUAAAGAAUUGAAUCCCAGAAAGAUACUGUAUAUGUGGAGACAGAAUUCUGAAUAUUCUCUGAACAUUAAGAAGCUAACAACCCUAUUAAAAAAACCUUUAGAAAAGUACUUUAAAUGAAAUUUUA